CCUACGGGGAGCUGCAGUGAGGAAUAUUGGUCAAUGGACGAGAGUCUGAACCAGCCAAGUAGCGUGAAGGAUGACUGCCCUAUGGGUUGUAAACUUCUUUUAUAUGGGAAUAAAACAGGGUAUGCAUACCCUCUUGUAUGUACCAUAUGAAUAAGGAUCGGCUAACUCCGUGCCAGCAGCCGCGGUAAUACGGAGGAUCCGAGCGUUAUCCGGAUUUAUUGGGUUUAAAGGUAGCGUAGGUGGAUUGUUAAGUCAGUUGUGAAAGUUUGCGGCUCAACCGUAAAAUUGCAGUUGAAACUGGCAGUCGUGAGUACAGUAGAGGUGGGCGGAAGUCGUGGUGUAGCGGUGAAAUGCUUAGAUAUCACGAAGAACUCCGAGUGCGAAGGCAGCUCACUGGACUGCAACUGACACUGAUGCUCGAAAGUGUGGGUAUCAAACAGGAUUAGAUACCCCUGUAGUC
rnacentral:rRNA from 1 species